AGCGAACGCUGGCGGCGUGCCUAACACAUGCAAGUCGAACGUGAAAGGGAGCAAUCCUGAGUAAAGUGGCGUACGGGUGAGUAACACGUAGGUAAUCUACCCUAGAGUCUGGAAUAACCUGCCGAAAGGCGGGCUAAUACUGGAUAGAGCGAUGGAAUCCGUAAUGGGAUUUUUCGGGAAAGGGAGGAAGCAAUUCCCUUUGCUCUGGGAUGAGCCUGCGUCUCAUUAGCAGUUGGUGGGGUAAUGGCCCACCAAGGCUUUGAUGGGUAGCUGGUCUGAGAGGAUGAUCAGCCACACUGGAACUGAAACACGGUCCAGACUCCUACGGGAGGCAGCAGUGGGGAAUCUUGCGCAAUGGACGAAAGUCUGACGCAGCCACGCCGCGUGAGUGAAGAAGGCCU
rnacentral:rRNA from 1 species